rnacentral:rRNA from 1 species
GACGAACGCUGGCGGCGUGCUUAACACAUGCAAGUCGAACGGAAAGGCCCUGCUUUUGUGGGGUGCUCGAGUGGCGAACGGGUGUGUAACACGUGAGUAACCUGCCCUUGACUUUGGGAUAACUUCAGGCAACUGGUGCUACUACCGGAUAGGAGCUCCUGCUGCAUGGUGGGGGUUGGAAAGUUUCGGCGGUUGGGGAUGGACUCGCGGCUUAUCAGCUUGUUGGUGGGGUAGUGGCUUACCAAGGCUUUGGCGGGUAGCCGGCCUGAGAGGGUGACCGGCCACAUUGGGACUGAGAGACGGCCCAGACUCCUACGGGAGGCAGCAGUGGGGAGUAUUGCACAAUGGGCGGAAGCCUGAGGCAGCAACGCUGCGUGCGGGAUGACGGCCUUCGGGUGGUAAACCGCUUUCGCCUGUGACGAAGCGGGAGUGACGGUAAUGGGAAAAGAAGCACCGGCUAACUACGUG